rnacentral:rRNA from 1 species
UAAGCCUGUGAAGGUGUGUCGUGAGGCAUGCUGGAGGUAUCAGAAGUGCGAAUGCUGACAUAAGUAACGAUAAAGCGGGUGAAAAGCCCGCUCGCCGGAAGACCAAGGGUUCCUGUCCAACGUUAAUCGGGGCAGGGUGAGUCGACCCCUAAGGCGAGGCCGAAAGGCGUAGUCGAUGGGAAACGGGUUAAUAUUCCCGUACUUGGUGUUACUGCGAAGGGGGGACGGAGAAGGCUAUGUUGGCCGGGCGACGGUUGUCCCGGUUUAAGCGUGUAGGUGUGUGUUCCAGGUAAAUCCGGUUCACUUUAACACUGAGGCGUGACGACGAGGCACUACGGUGCUGAAGCAACAAAUGCCCUGCUUCCAGGAAAAGCCUCUAAGCAUCAGGUAACAUCAAAUCGUACCCCAAACCGACACAGGUGGUCAGGUAGAGAAUACCAAGGCGCUUGAGAGAACUCGGGUGAAGGAACUAGGCAAAAUGGUGCCGUAACUUCGGGAGAAGGCACGCUGACACGUAGGUGAAGUGAUUUACUCAUGGAGCUGAAGUCAGUCGAAGAUACCAGCUGGCUGCAACUGUUUAUUAAAAACACAGCACUGUGCAAACACGAAAGUGGACGUAUACGGUGUGACGCCUGCCCGGUGCCGGAAGGUUAAUUGAUGGGGUCAGCGCAAGCGAAGCUCCUGAUCGAAGCCCCGGUAAACGGCGGCCGUAACUAUAACGGUCCUAAGGUAGCGAAAUUCCUUGUCGGGUAAGUUCCGACCUGCACGAAUGGCGUAAUGAUGGCCAGGCUGUCUCCACCCGAGACUCAGUGAAAUUGAACUCGCUGUGAAGAUGCAGUGUACCCGCGGCAAGACGGAAAGACCCCGUGAACCUUUACUAUAGCUUGACACUGAACAUUGAGCCUUGAUGUGUAGGAUAGGUGGGAGGCUUUGAAGUGUGGACGCCAGUCUGCAUGGAGCCGACCUUGAAAUACCACCCUUUAAUGUUUGAUGUUCUAACGUGGACCCGUGAUCCGGGUUGCGGACAGUGUCUGGUGGGUAGUUUGACUGGGGCGGUCUCCUCCUAAAGAGUAACGGAGGAGCACGAAGGUUGGCUAAUCCUGGUCGGACAUCAGGAGGUUAGUGCAAUGGCAUAAGCCAGCUUGACUGCGAGCGUGACGGCGCGAGCAGGUGCGAAAGCAGGUCAUAGUGAUCCGGUGGUUCUGAAUGGAAGGGCCAUCGCUCAACGGAUAAAAGGUACUCCGGGGAUAACAGGCUGAUACCGCCCAAGAGUUCAUAUCGACGGCGGUGUUUGGCACCUCGAUGUCGGCUCAUCACAUCCUGGGGCUGAAGUAGGUCCCAAGGGUAUGGCUGUUCGCCAUUUAAAGUGGUACGCGAGCUGGGUUUAGAACGUCGUGAGACAGUUCGGUCCCUAUCUGCCGUGGGCGCUGGAGAACUGAGGGGGGCUGCUCCUAGUACGAGAGGACCGGAGUGGACGCAUCACUGGUGUUCGGGUUGUCAUGCCAAUGGCACUGCCCGGUAGCUAAAUGCGGAAGAGAUAAGUGCUGAAAGCAUCUAAGCACGAAACUUGCCCCGAGAUGAGUUCUCCCUGAGACUUAAAGUCUCCUGAAGGAACGUUGAA